AUCUUGACCAUAAGACUAAAAGCAAGAGUGAAUAGUAGCUAAUGAUCUUUAUUUAGAACCCGGCUACCGUUAAGGGGGAUUACGAAAAUGGACGGACAACCAGUGAAUGAAUAUGUAAGUGCUUGUAUCUCUUCUGCAAUCUAGAAGCUAUCUAAUGUAAUUAGCAAGUAGGCUUUGAAAAAUAUAUCUUAGAAUUUGGAGUUGUUUGUGCUUUACCUAAGGAAAGUCCAUUCAGUUUUGGUUCAUUGUGCUGUGAGCUCUUAUACAAACCACAUCAAAAUUAAAAAAAAAAAAGUUACAUAAAAAAAAAAAAAUUUGGAAGAAUUUCACGACUGUGCGUUAAGGUUCAACUUUCCCAAGUGGAUAUAUCAAAAUGCAUGAGCUCAGAUGGUUAAACGUUACACGCAAUAAAGGUUAAUAAAUGAAGUAUCAUGUAGUGACGCCGAAUACUUAUUAUGAAAAUUGAGGACUACUACACAGCCACAUCAUUGAUAAAUAAUAAUACCGAACAGAAUGACCGUAUGGGGGAAUUUUGUCAAUGGCAGCUGCUGUUGGAGCUUUUGUUUUCGCAUUAACUACACGCUGUAAUUUGCAGCAAAACACUGCAAUUAACAGGCAAUUGCAGCACGGCAGCCCUCUUUUGUCUUCAGCCCCCAUGGCAUACUAAACUAGUUUAUUCCGUCCGUCUCCAUCUAUGUCUCCCAUCCCAUCCGAUUUGCUCAGAGGCUCUCGAGUUCGUCUCCGGAUUUGGUGCGACAGCGACACGCCCUCCACGCCUUCCAGCACCACUGAUUGCCACACAGGAAGAAAAUUUAUGAUAUAUACCAAGUUUCUUAUAACUAAAUGAAACUAUUGCCCGAACGUUUAAACAGAAUAGUAUAAUAUUUAAUAUACCUAAUAUCAGCAUGA